rnacentral:rRNA from 1 species
CGCUGGCGGCGUGCCUAAUACAUGCAAGUCGAGCGAAGUUUUUCUGGUGCUUGCACUAGAAAAACUUAGCGGCGAACGGGUGAGUAACACGUAAAGAACCUGCCUCAUAGACUGGGACAACUAUUGGAAACGAUAGCUAAUACCGGAUAACAGUAUUUCUCGCAUGAGAGAUAUUUAAAAGUUGGUUAUGCUAACACUAUGAGAUGGCUUUGCGGUGCAUUAGCUAGUUGGUGGGGUAAAGGCCCACCAAGGCGACGAUGCAUAGCCGACCUGAGAGGGUGAUCGGCCACACUGGGACUGAGACACGGCCCAGACUCCUACGGGAGGCAGCAGUAGGGAAUCUUCCGCAAUGGGCGAAAGCCUGACGGAGCAACGCCGCGUGAGUGAAGAAGGAUUUCGGUUCGUAAAGCUCUGUUGUUAGGGAAGAAUGGAUACGUAGUAACUAUCCAU